rnacentral:rRNA from 1 species
ACGGGAGGCAGCAGUGGGGAAUAUUGGGCGAUGGGGGAAACCCUGACCCAGCAACGCCGCGUGAAGGAAGAAGGCCUUCGGGUUGUAAACUUCUUUUACCAGGGACGAACAAAUGACGGUACCUGGAGAAAAAGCAACGGCUAACUACGUGCCAGCAGCCGCGGUAAUACGUAGGUUGCAAGCGUUGUCCGGAUUUACUGGGUGUAAAGGGCGUGUAGGCGGAGCUGCAAGUCAGAUGUGAAAUCCCGGGGCUCAACCCCGGAACUGCAUUUGAAACUGUAGCCCUUGAGUAUCGGAGAGGCAAGCGGAAUUCCUAGUGUAGCGGUGAAAUGCGUAGAUAUCAGGAGGAACACCGGUGGCGAAGGCGGCCUGCUGGACUGUAACUGACGCUGAGGCUCGAAGGCGUGGGGAGCAAACAGGAUUAGAUACCCUGGUA